rnacentral:misc_RNA from 1 species
AACGCACCUUGCACGCGCAGAGUCAUCUGCACGUAUACCUGUUUGAGUGGCAUCAACACAAUCUGGCCUGAGCAAGGCUGGGACGUGGGGCGUCAGGCUUGCCUGUGCCUCCAAAUGCAGCGAGAGAAGCAACAGUGCGCACGCUCUGUCCAAGUGAGGAUGUUUGCCGCGUGCAAAACUAAUCGCGCGGACGCGGCGCAGCGGCUGUCCAACUCGGCAGCACCAAUCACACGAACAAUGCCCUCAAGUCAGGCAAGAGGACCCGCCGAACUUAA